rnacentral:lncRNA from 1 species
AGAGAACCUGUAGACAUUGAAUUGAAAUCCAUAGGCAAUUUCGUUCAUGACUAUUGAUAAUCUUUGAGAACAUACAUGGAAGGAUCGAGGAAAAGACUUUAACAAUGUAUUUCAUUUUUCUUAGUGACGCUGCAAUAAGGGAGCGAUGUAGAGGAUAAUAGUGCUUGAUCAUGAAGAUGAUUUAAAUGAUUAAUUAAGGAUCGGUAGAUUAAAACAUAAUGAAGGGAUGUGAUUUGGAGUAACUCAAAAGAGUUACUCCUUGGAGUCAAAAUAUCCCUCCCCUUUUGUAAAAUUUUGGGGGAUUUUAUCAUGUUUUUGGUGGUUUUUAGUUUUUAUUAGGCGUGAUUUACUUCUGAUUUGCUACGAUUUAAGUUGUUAUAUAUAUUUCUAAAUUUGGUAGGAUCUUACAAUCCAUGUUAUGAUCCUAUGAUUUACGAUCUUGUGACCCUUCCCCGAUCUUACAUAGGAUCCCGAUUCUGACUACCUUGGUGUUAACUAUCAAUUAAUGCACGUAGACUGUUUGAUGUAUGCAAAUAACCUCUUUCUUUAUGACUAUUAGGCAACUAAAUGUCAAAGCUAGUUUUCUCAAUGCUGCAAUGAUUAUUAGGCAACUGUAUGAUUAUUAGACAACCUACCAUGUUAAGAUGCAAUGCUUAUUUUUUGGUCAAGUAGAUGCAGUACUUUUUUUAUUUAAUGCACGUAAGCUUUUUCAUAUAUUCAUUUGUUUUCCGUGCCUUGUAUUUUUUAUUUAUUUUUUAUAUACAUUUUGCCAUAUUAAAUUUAACUCACAUUUUGGCAUCUUAUUUUGUUCAGCUGUAAACCCUUUUACCGGCAAGCCAGUUGCCCUUUUCAAUGAGCAACCACCCCAGGCAAGUUUUUCUGGAUGGGUCCUUUUUUCUUUUGAUUCAAAUUUCACAAUUUUAGUUUCUUUCUACAUAUUUGAAUUCAUUCUUAAUUUUUAUUUUUACAAUCCAUUACGGUUCCACACAUCAAACAAUGAAUGUCCCAUCAACUGGGAUCCAAAUACUUCUUGGUAAAACAGCUUCUAGGAGCUCAUAAACUCCGAUCAUAAGAUCUGGUAACAUUCUCUCCCAAAUUGUCCCAUAAGCACUUGCAACAGCAGACAAGCCAAAAUAAUCCAAACAUAAGCAUUUCCAAACAGCCCCCCUAAUAAUGAGCAACUUGUACUUUAUUUUGUUUUCACAUAAGUACCCCAUUCUUCAACUUUCCACCUAUCUGACUAGGGUAUUACAUAUAAAUCAGACAUUUAAUGCUCUUGAAGAUUUUGUCUUGAAUAAGUUCAAUAUUACAAUUUGCUUUGUGUGCCAGUUUGCAUAAUAUGGGAUUAGUGUUGAAUAUCUGCUCCAUUUUAUUUUUUUGUAACAUGUAUCUUUGGUGGGUGUGUGUGUUUGUUGUAAUUGUCUAAUUUUUUCUGCAAAACUUCAGCUCAGUUGUUUAUAACAUACAAUGAUAAAAUGCGUGCUUGAGUUGCAUCCGUAAUGUUGUGUAUGAAUGAGAGAUGAGGAUUUGAACUGUUUGAUUUUGCUUUACCCUCCUGAUUUCCUUGCCUAUUGUUGUUUAAUGACAUAUUUAGACGCCUUGAGUCUCUGAUUGAAUUUUUAACCAGGAGGUGAAACCCGAAACCGAUGAAAAGACUAAAGUGUACUAUCAUGCAAAUGGAAAGCUAGAGUUUCUUCUUAUGAACCAUCAGCUAGGCCUUCGGUCUAUGCUCCAAUUUUUAAACAAGCAGGAGAAACUGAAAACUUACAAAAAUAUUGAAGUUCAUGAGACUGAAUUUGAAGAGCUACAGUUUCGUGUUGAGAACUUUGGCGGAGCAACCACCAUCGAGCGGAUCUUGAAGGUCAGAAUGAUGUAUAGUUCUUGAACCAUCAUGCCAUGGAUUGAUAUUAUUGUACUCCCUCCUGGAUAUGUGGAUUAAUCUUGUCAUAAAAAAUAAAUAUAUUUCUACUCUUUAAAAAAGAAGUAAUAUUUGUUACAAUUUUAGUAAUGAUAAUGCAUCUUUUUUUGUCUUUGAAAGAUUAAUGUUUAUGCGUGAUACCACAAAUUGUUAUCUUCAAUCCAUUUUUUCAAAUACAUGGCCACGAUUUCAACCAAAUCCGGACUUCACAAAUUUUCAUUUGAUUAAAAAAGAAACACGUUAAAUUCUUAAAAUUUAUUUGUGACUUCGAAAUAGUAUAUAACACAUUACUGCUUAGCAACAUAUUUCGUCUGAUUGUUUUGUUGAGUUUGUCUUUUGGGCCUUUUGCGCGGUGGGGUUUAGAAUGGGAAUGAAGAGUUGUUUCCCACCAUGGGAAAGAUUUUUUGGACUGUUGGAUUAAAGAUGAUUAUUGAUUUUAGCAUGGUCUGUUCACACAAGAUUUUUUUUCAUUCCCCUUUAACAUUGACCUUCAACCUCCAUUGUCUUCAAGUGAGGUUUAGCAUGGGGAAGGGAAGUUGUUUCCUAUGAUAGGAAAGUUGAUUUUAGCCAUUUGAUUAAAUAAAGAGUACACUAUUAUCAUGUUCUCAUAACACUGAAUUAUUUUGACACUCUUCUCCAACAAUUCUCUCUCCUCCGUGUCUCCCUCACCAACCAGUACCACAACCAGCAACUUCACAAUGUAUUCAUCUUCCAUUUUCAGAUCUUGGUCUCUGUUUAAUUUUAACCUCUUAUUUCAAUUUGAGCCCCUCUUGAAUCAGAAUAAAUCCAUUACAAACAAAACCUUCAAUAAACUAAUAUCACUUGAUGUUGUUCGGAGAACAAACAGACUACUUGGAUCUCUGUCUCAUCUUUCGUUGCUUCCUCUUCAACCUCCUCAUAUGCUUCUUCUUCCACUUGGCACGCAUGGUUGUUGAAAACGGAUGAGAAUUUGAUGAGAGAAAUUCAUAUUGGAUUGAACAUUACCAUUAUUAUUUCCAUUAUUAUUGUUAUUAUUAUCAAUAAUUGGUGGGUUUUUGUUAGCAAAAUUUGCAGCAACCUCUCGAAUUUGUUGUGGUAUAAGUGAAUUGUUAGAAACUGCAUUGAUAUCCAAAUUGAAAUAAAUUUUUAUUUGCAGCAACCUUUUGAAUUAGUAGCAGAUGAUGAUAAGGUUUUUAUUUGAUCAGUGGCAACAUCAUGAUGAUCCAUGUUUAGUAUAGUAGCUACUAGCUAGUUACAUUCAUAUAAUAAUAAAUUUUUAUGUGGGUAGCUAAUUUCAAUUAAUAUUGGAGAAUUCAUUGUGUUGUGCUUGCCUAUAAAUAAACACCAAAUGAUGAUGGCUCGUGUGUGAAUAACUUGGAUUUUGAAUUUGAAUUGAAUGAAGGUCUUAGCUCUAAACGUGUUGAUCAAAGUGAGUUAAGCAACUUUAAAGAACAUUAAACAACAGAAUGAAUCAAUGGGUUUUAAAAAAUUAAUGGGUUUUGAGAUCUGGUCGCACAACAAGAGUGAGAAAAUUAGAUCCGAGACAAAUUGUGAGCCACUAUGGAGAAGAGAGGGGAAAUAUAUGGUGUGGACAAACCAUCAUAAAAUGUAUGCACCUCUUUAAUCUAAUGGUUAAAAAAAACUUUCCCAUCAUGGAAAACAACUUCCCUUUCCCAUGUUAAACUUCACCUUAUCUUCAACAUAUAUACUUUCCUGCAAUUACCCCUCUUUUCUGUUGAACUCCAUGAAUACACACUUUUUUUUUCCAGAUCUAGAAUUUAUGUUGCAGAACUAUCGGAGGAGAGCAUAAAUCAUAUUAUCUUAAAUUAUUUGAUUACUCUUCUUCAAUUAUAAAUUAAUGAACUAGUACAAUCUUAAAACUUUAAAGAAGCUAAAACUGUAUUCCACAUCUCAUAUCUUUGAUGCCCACAAGCUUCAUUUCAUAUCUCAAAGGCAGUAGUCCUAUCACGGACGUUCGCUUCAUUAGCCUAUUUACAGAUUUGUUCCUUCAAUUUGUCAUCAAAUUUAUGAGAAGGGGCAGCGUAAACUUGUACAACUAAGAAAGUGCUAUGGUGUUGAACAUUCCAAAAACUCAAAGGGUCAAAUUGAACUCUAAGAAAUGUAUACAAGUGUGCUUCGAUGAGCGAGGAACACACUGGUCUUGCAAACAAAAUAUUGCAAUCAAUGGUUUCUAAAAUGAGUGUGUAAUUAGAUUAAUCGUAAAGGCUCCUUAAAUUUUGUUCCUUCAUAAAAUGAGUGUCUGUAGUUAGAUCAACUAAAAAACAGAAUCUAAAUCACAAGAAAACGGUGUGGUGGUCAGGGGCGGUUUCACCGCCCGGCGACCCCGGGCGGUCGCCCGGGCUCGAUCGAUAAUCUUUGCACAUUAGACCCAACUCAAAAGUCAAUUAACACACUUACAAAAAGAAAAAUUUGGGCAAUCUGAAAAAUUCUCACACGCAAAUAGAUCUCGGAAUUUUAUUUAACACACUAUUGACGGGUUCAUCUAUCUUAUUUUGACGGGUUAAUUGUUCAAAUUGACCCUGUAAUAUACCUUAUGUCUGAAAAAUGACCCUUAAAAAUACAAAACAUAUAUUCUAGCAUUAUAACUUGAAUUUCUUCUUAUUUUUGACCAUCCUGUGAUAUACGUGUAGUCUAAAAAUGUGACCUACAUGUUGAAUUUUUUCAUUAUUUUUUUCAUACAUGAUUAGCACAUUAAAAUAUAGCUUUAUAUAAAAAAUUAAAUUUCUUCGACCAGAGAUAAAUUAAUUAUGAAUUUUCAUUUCCUCAUAAUUAUGAAUUUCUUAAACAAUUUAUAAUUAUUAUUGUAUCAUGUUUCAAUAUUGUUUUCGUUUUUGAAAUUGCAAUUCAUUCAAUUUUGAACCCACCAUGCGAAGAUGCAAUUAUUUUUGCCUUAUGUUUUAUUUAAAAUCACCUCCUUGUUUAAGAUUUUUAGGCAAUUGAAAUUCAAAGUUAGUUUUCAUACAUAACCAACUGUGUGAAGAUACAAUUCUUUUUUACUUUCAUGUUCUAUGUUAAUGCAAUGCACAUUAACUCUUUUUUAUUUAUUGAAGCUGCUGCUAUGGUGCAACUUGCUAAUCUAGACACUUGUAAACCAAUCAAGGCAAGUCUUUCUGGAAAUCCCAACAAAGUUUAUGCUAAUGAAGCUAUUUGAUUUUUAUUCAAGUUUCACAAUUUUAAUUUCUUUCUACAUAUUUCAAUUCUUUAUUUGAUAUCUUAAGUAGUAACAUUGUUCAUGUGUGUGUGACAUUUAGUAUUUCUGCAAAUAGCUUUAGCUCAGUUGUUCAUAACUUAAGUUGAUAAAAUGCUUGAGUCGUAAACAUAGCGAUGUGAAUGAAUGAGAGACGAGGAUUUCAACUGUUUGAUAAUUCUGUCCCCUCUUGACUUCCUUGCUGAUUGUUGGUUAGUUACAUAUAUUAUGCCUAGAGUCUCUAAACAAAUGUUUACACUAGCGGGCUGUUUCCAGAAGCAGGGUGGCUGUGGUAAGCACACGUGAGAUUCAAAAUGGAAAGAAACUGAUCCUUGUUAAGAAGAUGCGCGACGGAUCAUUCACCAUUAAUCGUAGCUUCCUGGGCUUGAAGGCAAAUAAUAAAAGUGAAGGUUAGUUUUCCCAAUGCUAUAAUAGUUUAUGUUUUUAUGACUUUAUGUUAUUGACUUCACAACCAACCCUGUGAAGAUAGAUUUUUUCUUUUCUUUUUUGUUUCAUGUAAACCCAAGAAAAUUGUUAACCGUGUUAGGGAAAAGCGGAUUUCGCGGCCGCUUUACAUGGAGCGGUAGCGGGUCAAAUCGCCCACUUUUCCACUUUCCCGGGUCUGAGUACAAAACGAGAGAAAGAGAGCCAAAAACGACUUUGUUUUUAUAAUCGACCCAUGUGACCCGGUUUUUGACCCGGUUCGCUAGGAAUAAUAGAAGUUCGUUAUUUGUUGAAUAAAUUAAAAUAAAUGCAUAUUUAUGAUUUCUUUGACAUUGCUUGCUGAAAAGUCACACAAUGAAUGUGCCAGUUAAAUGCAUAUUUUGAUAGUUAUUUUUCUGACAAAUUAUUUUAAUACUUAAUAUUAUUGGUUAUUAAUUAUCUUUCUUAAUUUCAAUAUAAUUUUAUUUCAAAUCAUGAAUACUUCAUAAAAUUUGAUUAAUAUUUAAGGUAUUUUAGUAUAUUUUUUGUAUAUUAUGGUAUUUUAAUAUUAAAUAUAUUAGUGUCCGCGUCAUGAAAUAGCGUCCGCUACGCGCUGCGUCAAUUUUUGGGGUGGCCGCUUUCUGCUUUGACAGCAGAGUAUAAUGAUGUUGAUCCCUAUCACUGCGUUUCGUGCUUAUUGGAAUCCUAAAUUGCUCGGAGACGAUGGAAUCUCCAUGCUAAGUGGUGGAUUCUGCUACUAUUCUACAUGUUCUGCUAUUUCUGAGUUUUCCUGGUCUGGUCAGGCGACCUGGUUUCAAUUAAAACGACCCUCAAAUAUCCCUCUUUGGAAGCUUUAUGUUGUUUUUGUUAAGGGGAGGGAUAUUUUGACUCCAACCAUCUCACCUCACCUCUCCAUCCAGAAUUUUAUACAAUCAUUUAAAUUUGAUAAUUCUGUUAUUCAAAGAUAAGAAGAAUAAAAUUAUUGGAAUCUAAAAACAAAGGAAAGUCGCUAGAUUUUUACUAAGUCCAAAUUCCUUGUGGAAAUCCAAGGGCAUAAAAUAGAGAACCAGUAGACAUUGAAUUGAAAUCCAUAGGCAAUUUCUACGAUUUGCUACGAUUUAAACUUCUGAUUUGCUACGAUUUAAGUUGUUAUAUAUAUUUUUAAAUUUGGUAGGAUCUUACAAUCGGCAAAAGUUAUGGUGCAUAAGCCAUUUCCUUAUGCAUCGUGCAUAAACACAUCACAACCAUCAGAUUUCUUUUAUUUUGAACAAAAAUGAUUUUGGCUCACUUUGGGGGUGUAGGAAGCAAUUAUGUUGGGAUUUAUGCAUGGUGCAUAAGGAUUUCCUUAUGCACCAUUACCACUCCCUGAUUAUUAGACAACCUACCAUGUUAAGAUGCAAUGCUUAUUUUUUG